rnacentral:rRNA from 1 species
AAGUCUGACGGAGCAACGCCGCGUGAGUGAUGAAGGUUUUCGGAUUGUAAAACUUUGUUGUUAGGGAAGAACAAGUACCGUUCGAAUAGGGCGGUACCUUGACGGUACCUAACCAGAAAGCCACGGCUAACUACGUGCCAGCAGCCGCGGUAAUACGUAGGUGGCAAGCGUUGUCCGGAAUUAUUGGGCGUAAAGCGCGCGCAGGCGGUCUUUUAAGUCUGAUGUGAAAGCCCCCGGCUCAMCCGGGGAGGGUCAUUGGAAACUGGGAGACUUGAGUGCAGAAGAGAAGAGCGGAAUUCCACGUGUAGCGGUGAAAUGCGUAGAGAUGUGGAGGAACACCAGUGGCGAAGGCGGCUCUUUGGUCUGUAACUGACGCUGAGGCGCGAAAGCGUGGGGAGCAAACAGGAUUAGAUACCCUGGUAGUCCACGCCGUAAACGAUGAKUGCUAAGUGUUAGAGGGUUUCCGCCCUUUAGUGCUGCAGCAAACGCAUUAAGCACUCCGCCUGG